UAUAAACAUGUACAUACAGUGCUGUACCUGAUGUUUGGAGCUCAGCUUGGUGUUUAGACACACCCAGUUUUCAGAGUCGUAGUUGACUCAGUAGAAUCCCUUCUUAUCAACAUUGGCGACCACCCAAACAUUAGCA